rnacentral:rRNA from 1 species
AUGAACGCUAGCGACAGGCUUAACACAUGCAAGUCGAGGGGCAGCACAGGUAGCAAUACCGGGUGGCGACCGGCGCACGGGUGAGUAACGCGUAUGCAACUUGCCUAUCAGAGGGGGAUAACCCGGCGAAAGUCGGACUAAUACCGCAUGAAGCAGGGGCCCCGCAUGGGGAUAUUUGCUAAAGAUUCAUCGCUGAUAGAUAGGCAUGCGUUCCAUUAGGCAGUUGGCGGGGUAACGGCCCACCAAACCGACGAUGGAUAGGGGUUCUGAGAGGAAGGUCCCCCACAUUGGUACUGAGACACGGACCAAACUCCUACGGGAGGCAGCAGUGAGGAAUAUUGGUCAAUGGCCGAGAGGCUGAACCAGCCAAGUCGCGUGAGGGAUGAAGGUUCUAUGGAUCGUAAACCUCUUUUAUAAGGGAAUAAAGUGCGGGACGUGUCCCGUUUUGUAUGUACCUUAUGAAUAAGGAUCGGCUAACUCCGUGCCAGCAGCCGCGGUAAUACGGAGGAUCCGAGCGUUAUCCGGAUUUAUUGGGUUUAAAGGGUGCGUAGGCGGCCUUUUAAGUCAGCGGUGAAAGUCUGUGGCUCAACCAUAGAAUUGCCGUUGAAACUGGGGGGCUUGAGUAUGUUUGAGGCAGGCGGAAUGCGUGGUGUAGCGGUGAAAUGCAUAGAUAUCACGCAGAACCCCGAUUGCGAAGGCAGCCUGCCAAGCCAUUACUGACGCUGAUGCACGAAAGCGUGGGGAUCAAACAGGAUUAGAUACCCUGGUAGUCCACGCAGUAAACGAUGAUCACUAGCUGUUUGCGAUACACUGUAAGCGGCACAGCGAAAGCGUUAAGUGAUCCACCUGGGGAGUACGCCGGCAACAGUGAAACUCAAAGGAAUUGACGGGGGCCCGCACAAGCGGAGGAACAUGUGGUUUAAUUCGAUGAUACGCGAGGAACCUUACCCGGGUUUGAACGCAUUCGGACCGAGGUGGAAACACCUUUUCUAGCAAUAGCCGUUUGCGAGGUGCUGCAUGGUUGUCGUCAGCUCGUGCCGUGAGGUGUCGGCUUAAGUGCCAUAACGAGCGCAACCCUUGCCACUAGUUACUAACAGGUUAGGCUGAGGACUCUGGUGGGACUGCCAGCGUAAGCUGCGAGGAAGGCGGGGAUGACGUCAAAUCAGCACGGCCCUUACAUCCGGGGCGACACACGUGUUACAAUGGCGUGGACAAAGGGAUGCCACCUGGCGACAGGGAGCGAAUCCCCAAACCACGUCUCAGUUCGGAUCGGAGUCUGCAACCCGACUCCGUGAAGCUGGAUUCGCUAGUAAUCGCGCAUCAGCCAUGGCGCGGUGAAUACGUUCCCGGGCCUUGUACACACCGCCCGUCAAGCCAUGGGAGCCGGGGGUACCUGAAGUCCGUAACCGAAAGGAUCGGCCUAGGGUAAAACUGGUGACUGGGGCU